CGCGUAGGCGGCCUGUUAAGUCUGGGGUGAAAUCUCCCGGCUCAACUGGGAGGGGUCCUCGGAUACUGGCAGGCUGGAGGGGAGCAGAGGAGAGCGGAAUUCCCGGUGUAGUGGUGAAAUGCGUAGAUAUCGGGAGGAACACCAGUGGCGAAGGCGGCUCUCUGGGCUCUACCUGACGCUGAGGCGCGAAAGCGUGGGGAGCGAACCGGAUUAGAUACCCGGGUAGUCCACGCUGUAAACGAUGGACACUAGGUGUGGGGGGUAUCGACCCCUCCGUGCCGAAGCUAACGCUAUAAGUGUCCCGCCUGGGGAGUACGGCCGCAAGGCUAAA
rnacentral:rRNA from 1 species